AGAACAGACUUUUUAAUCAAGGGUAGAUUAAUAGGUCUGGGACACACUUCUCCUCAUCUCAGAGUCUGCUUCUAAGGAGCCCGACCAGUCAGCAGUUUUAUUUUUUUCCAUUUCUCUAUAUUGUGUUUUGGUUUCUGUGACUGUUUCAUCAAUGUAUCUCUUAAUUAUUUUCUUUUCUCCGCUAUUUUUAGGAUACUUUACUUUCUUGAAUAAACGGUUAGGUCUGUAAUUGUCCGUCUCCUCUUUCUAAUAUAAUCAUUUAGGGUUGUAAAUUUUACUCUACCGCUUUAGCUACAUCCUACAAGUUUUAAUGUUACAUUUUCAUUAUUCUUUAAGUGUAAAUGUUUCCCCGCUUUCUUGAUUAUUUCCUCUUCGUGAUCAUCUUUGGUGCUGGUCACUGACGUGUCCAGUUCUCCUCUUUCUGGUCAGGGCCCCUCCUUCUUGAAGUCAGCCAUGGCAAUAGACGUGCUCUGGACAACAUCGUAUGAGUGGAAAUGAUGUCUGUCAUUUUGGGGCAGAAAACUUUAAGAGCUACGUACUAUCUGGUAAUGCCCAGUGGUGGAAGCUCCAUCAGGUCCCAGAGUGAGGAAAAUGUGGGACCGAGCUCCCAGCUGAUUACACUGGAAAUGUACCCUGAGUGGGAAAUAAACCUCCAUUGUUUUAAGAUAUUGAGGGAUUUCAGGUCUGUGCAUUACGGCAGCAUAACUUAUUCUAUUUUGACUGUUGCGUUGUCCAAACAGUCUUUAGAAGUGUCUUUCCGUCUCUCUAAUUUCCCAAAAUAUAAUUUCAAGUAUCUUUUUCUUUUCAAGUUCAUAUUUUAUUAGCCUCUGGUCAGAGAACACAUUCUGUAUGUUGCUGAGUCUUUGCUAUUGUGGAGGAGAUUUCCUUCGUGGUCCAGCAAGCGAUCAGCUGUUGGGUUAUAUAUCUGUAGACUAGAUCAAGCUAGUUAAUUGGAUUGUUCAAACCUUCAAUAUCUUUACUAAUUUUUGACCUUUUACUCUAUCGAUUACUAAGAGAUAUGUUUGUAAAAAUCUGUACAUACAGGGGCUGGCCCUGUGGCCGAGUGAUUAAGUUCGCGCGCUCCGCUGCAGGCGGCCCAGUGUUUCGUUGGUUCGAAUCCUGGGCGCGGACAUGGCACUGCUCAUCAGACCACGCUGAGGCAGCGUCCCACGUGCCACAACUAGAAGAACCCACAACGAAGAAUACACAACUAUGUACCGGGGGGCUUUGGGGAGAAAAAGGAAAAAAUAAAAUCUUAAAAAAAAAAAAAUCUGUACAUACGGAUUUUCAAAUUUCUCUUUAUAAAUCAAUCGAUUUCUGCUUUAAAUAUAUUUGAGGGCAUAUUAUUCCGUACACGCACAUGGUGAAUUGUCUGUGGUAGGUUAUGAAAUGACCUUCUUUAUGCCUACUAAUGCAUUUUGUCUUAAAAUCUAUUUAUCAGAGUAGUUGCGUCCACCAGGCGCAACUCCCAAACUCCCAAAAGGAGACUUUCAUGGGGAUGUCGUUUUAAAAGAAAAAAAUGUAACAAAUCCAGGCACACUGUAAAUCCUCCUGCCCAAGGCUGACACUGUAGGCAACUUCGUUUCCCUUCCAUUAAAGGUGGGGACCCACCCUGCUUUCUCAGAAACAGCACCGAGAUGUCUCCUGGCUCCUGUUAAACGGGCCGCGCUUCGUGCACCAAAGAGUUUGCUGGAACUAUUCCUCUCCU
ensembl:lncRNA